rnacentral:lncRNA from 1 species
UGAUGGAAUUUUUAACUCACCUUACAGGGGGAGAAUGGAGAAACUGGCCCUCAGGGAAAACUUGGCAGAGAGGGGCUGAAGGGCAACAGGGGAGCAGAUGGACGAAAUGGCAAGCCUGGACACAGAGGGACCAAGGGUCGUAUUGGACAGAGAGGGCAUGUUGGCCAGCCUGGUUCACCGGGUCUGCCAGGCCCACCUGGGACAGAGGGACCAGAAGGAAAGCCUGGGCAUCUCUGGUUCAGUAGGAGUAACUGGUAAUAAAGGCCUAAUGGGAUUUCAGGGCAUUGCCGGAGAGCCAGGUCCAGAUGGUGCCUCAGGAGCUCCAGGCCCACCUGGACACAGAGGAACAUCAGGGAUCCCUGGGCCACAAGGAGAGAGGGGUUUCACAGGGAAGGAAGGUGUGGAGGGGGCUCAGGGUCCUGUAGGCAUGUAUGUAAGUGAUGCUGCUGUAGGGUAAACAGGGCAGUUUGGACCAACACGAUCCAUAUCAGCCUGUCCAUAAUCCAUAUUGAUGCCAUCCUGUGCGUAACUGCGUAAUACCCAUCUGCUUUCACCUGGUGUCUCUUCCCCUCAGG